rnacentral:rRNA from 1 species
GACGAACGCUGGCGGCGUGCUUAACACAUGCAAGUCGAACGGAGAGGCCCCUUUGGGGGUACUCGAGUGGCGAACGGGUGAGUAACACGUGAGUAACCUGCCCUUGACUUCGGGAUAACUUCAGGAAACUGGGGCUAAUACCGGAUAGGAAUCCUUGCUGCAUGGUGGGGGUUGGAAAGCUUCGGCGGUUUUGGAUGGACUCGCGGCUUAUCAGCUCGUUGGUGGGGUAGUGGCUUACCAAGGCUUUGACGGGUAGCCGGCCUGAGAGGGCGACCGGCCACAUUGGGACUGAGAUACGGCCCAGACUCCUACGGGAGGCAGCAGUGGGGAAUAUUGCACAAUGGGCGGAAGCCUGAUGCAGCAACGCCGCGUGCGGGAUGACGGCCUUCGGGUUGUAAACCGCUUUCAGCAGGGGCGAAGCUUGUGGUGACGGUACCUGCAGAAGAAGCACCGGCUAACUACGUG